UCUGGUGGUAGGUCACAAUUACAUCACCACAACAGAUUCCAUGUUAAUUUGAGGGCCAUCUUUGUAUCUGAUUGUUUUGUUGUUAGUCUCUGAAAUGAACUACCUUGCAAGUGAGCAAUCAGACUAAGCGUGCGUCUUUCUGAUCCUGCAGACGCUGGCCGCACUAGAUUUGUAAUCUGGCUCGACAUUAUCUUGAAGGAUGGAUACCCACUACAACACCAAUCACCAUACUCAAGUCCAUCACAACCACCCUACGGUCGUGACGACUGCUGUACCCAUCGGGUCAAGAGAGGGUCCUCGACCCGCAGGGACAGCUGCAGGAGCGUACAUCACGUGCGCCAUUUUCUUGGCCGUUUCUGGGUUUAUUUUUUUAAUCGUCGGAAUUAUAUUCAGCACGAUAUUUGGAUUUUCCACUACGAUGGGGGUCGUGGGGUUGAUCCUUGAACCGGUGGGCAUUCUCAUGUUGGUUCUGUUCGGUAUAUUAUGCCGGAGAGGGCGAAUAGAACAACGGCGAGCUCUGGUGACAGUGCAGCGAAGUGGAGCAACUACCAUUGUGUACGGUCAGCAGCCCGUAUCGUCGUUAGCUGCUGUUCCACUACAAUCUUCAGGAAACUAUGGUCAUCCUGGAGCGCCACCCAUAGGCCGGCCAAUGCCACAGGGGUCCCCAAUCGUCUACGGACGAUCGGGGGUAGUUGGCUACUAUCCAUCCCAGGCAGCGAUACCCUCUGCACCCCUUGCACAUCAUCCAACUGACCCUUCUGCAAUGGCCGAUCUCCCACCGAGUUAUGAUGACGUAGUCAACAAAGAACCUACAACAGAUGAGUAAGCAGGAAAACUCCGAAGACAUCCAGUUACAGUUCAAGGAUCUCUGUUGCAUUGUUGAAUGUCUCAACCCGCUUACUAAUUUCUUCAUCAGCAUGACGAACUGCAAUUAUUCUAUCAUUUUCACCUGAUCAUCCUUGGAUUCAUUAGUUUUCGCUCAAUGAAGAACUGGUGGAGAAAGUGUAGUUGAUUUGAAAGGAAUUACCAUUAAUCAAUUUUUCCUCGCUAUUUUACCGGUAUUCAAGCGGGCGCUGGGCCGGGCAUGGCAGUGGGCUUAUAUCCGGUUCGUAAGUGUGACGUCACUUCAGUUUAAACAACGCCCACUGCACAUGCACUGCACAUAGAGUUACAUGCAUGUAAACAUCGCCGUUUACAUGCAACCAUGCAACUGGAAGUUAAUGCGUAACUUCAGCGAUCGUCCAAUGGGAGCCUGCAAAUCGUUGCGCGUCCACCUCUGUGACGAAGUCACUUACGAAUCGGAUUGGGAAAUGUUUGUGACCCAGUGACCGACUUGCUUGAAUUGCAUUGCUUGUGAGUAAUUACAUUGAUUAUCGAAAUGCAGCCUUUAUGGCAUCAUGGAAAGUAAUAAGAUACAACACAAAAUGGUAAGUUAAUUAAAAGUUAGUACACUAUUAUUUAUUUUUAUUUCCUCAAUUCAAGCAGACCGCUCAGCAUGUGAACAGAAACAAUGAAAAUUGCAGGUUGAAAGUUUAACACUGUGUUGAAAUUGAAGGAGAAUCUGUUAAAGUCACCAACAAGCAUGAUAAGUAAAAAAAUUCAAAGUGGCCUUGGUGCCCUUUCAGUUGACCUUGGUGCCCUUUGGUUUUGAGAGCAUUCAAGACCAAGUGGCCUUGACCCCCUGAAGCUUAAGGUUGAAGCCUGCCAGUGGUGUCAGCCUCCUCCCCCAUCCCUGCUUAAUCCCCUCCCCCCAUCUCUCUAUCCACCCUGUCCUCAGUUCACGCCACAAAAAUAUUUUACUUUUACACAAACAAUCUAAUUGGAGCUUACAUAGGAAUUGUCGAAUAAAACAAUUAUAGAAUUAAACAAACGAACUAAGGUCCGCUCACAAGGAAAGUUUGGCUAACCGAAAUUCUUCACUGUAAGGCUGUUUUGUUCUAGUUAGGUUUACAUAUAUAAUUCAGAUAGACCUGAUGUAUUGAAGUGCUCUUCUUUGAAUGUUCCAUGACACUUCCAGAAGCAACCCUUACCUAACCAGACGAAAUAAAAUCUUAGCAACAAGGAGGCUGUCCUAUAGGGAGGACAUGGAUAAUGCAGCUCUUGUACAUGCUGCGUAUCAACAAAGGAGCCAAUAACAGAGGUACAGCCGGUGCUGAUUUUCAGUGUUAUAGUACUAGUACUCGAGUACUACUCGUCGACUACCGUUUUCAGAGUACUCGCUCUCGUACUCGGACGUCCAGGCACUCGUAGUACUCGAACUACAGUUCUUGUACAAAAUACUCGGAACUCGACAUCUGAAACUUGUACUCGAGCAUCAAUUGAAGUACUCGUACAACAGUGCUCGAUAAAAAAAUCCUUUAGGUUAACUCAGGGUGAUCUUUGUUCAAACAACGGGGCAGAAACCGAGAAAGAGGAGUGGCUGUGGCCCCGUCCUCUUUGUCUUUUCACUGACAACUUUGCAACGUGACAAUUAAAGAUGAGCAAAACUGUUUAUUUCAGGUGUGACGUUAAUUCCAACAGAUUUACCACCUAUCGUGCAGAGUGUCACAGAUAAUGGUCGCACAUCACCUAUGUUUCACUGCCAUAGGCCGUGGAGACAUUUUAGUUUCUGCGGUCGCGCAUGCGCAGCAGCCUUCAGUGUGCUGGCAGCUCACUAUUUAUACUACCAGACAACGGAAGUGAUAUUUUCGUGUGUCUGAGAUCCUAUAAUAAAUUGUUCGCCACUUAAUAACAAAAUCCACCGGAAGGGUUACAAUUCUGGUAGUGUGUGAAACAAUCAUGGCAGAUCUCCUCUGUUUUAAAAGAAAUUAUUUGAAAUGAGCAAAUUAAAAGAAAAAUUAAAUUUCACG